GACGAACGCUGGCGGCGUGCUUAACACAUGCAAGUCGAACGGAAAGGCCCUGCUUUUGUGGGGUGCUCGAGUGGCGAACGGGUGAGUAACACGUGAGUAACCUGCCCUUGACUUUGGGAUAACUUCAGGAAACUGGGGCUAAUAUCGGAUAGGAGAUCCUGCUGCAUGGUGGGGGUUGGAAAGAUUCGGCCGUUGGGGAUGGAUUCGCGGCUUAUCAGCUUGUUGGUGGGGUAGUGGAUGACCAAGGCUUUGACGGGUAGCCGGCCUGAGCGGGUUGCCGGCCACAUUGGGACUGCGAUACGGCCCAGACUCCUACGGGAGGCAGCGGUGGGGAAUAUUGCACAAUGAGCGGAAGCCUGAUGCAGCAACGCCGCGUGCGGGAUGACGGCCUUCGGGUUGUAAACAGCUUUCGCCUGUGACGAAGCGUGAGUGACGGUAAUGGGUAAAGAAGCACCGGCUAACUACGUG
rnacentral:rRNA from 1 species